AAAAAUUUCGUCGGCUAAACUUUUAAAAAUUUCGUCGGCUAAAGUUCACAGACUAUAGCCGACGAAAAAAAUUAUUCAGCCGAUGAAAUAUUACUUUCGUCGGCUAAAGUUGACCAUAGCCGACGAAAAAAAAUUCGUCGGCUAAAGUGGACUUUAGCCGACGAAAAAAAAAUUCGUCGGCCUGGUUUUUUUAUUUUCGUCGGCUAAAGCCUUUCUUCUGGUAGUGUGAAUCCUAUAAAUAAACAUAGUUCAAGAAUUCUAUUAAAAUCACACAAUUAAAAUUUAAGAAUCUCCUGCGGAUAAGCAUAGUUCAGGUGAUACUCAAAGCAUGAAAUUUAAACAACAUAAAAGAACAUCACACAAACAUUUCUCUACUCCUACUUGUGAGUUCGUCAACACUUAGUCAUCCCCCAUGAAGUACCGACUGACAGACUAGAGCUCUAUACUGACCGUAACCAAUCACCCAGCCAAGGCUUGGUUCCCGGUCUACCACGAAGGCUCCUAAUCUAAUAAUCACCACUAAGGCACACACAUACACAACUAAUGCACACAAUCACCACUAAGGCACACAUUCCAAUACUCUCCCAUCAAAACACUUAUCAAAUCACAAAAUAAUAAAUCUAAUCAUAACCGUAACCUAUCACCCGAUUAAAGGCUAGGAACCCGGUUUGACUAUUUAAACAACAAUUCUAAAUAUAAAAAUAUCAUCAACAACAACACGAGCAUUUCAUAAAUUAUAUCUUUCCGCCUAGAUAUAUUUAUAUAAACGAAGACAUAAAUAUUCCCACUAGAAUAAUAUAUCAACAACUAUAUUUCAACAUCACAAUAUCACAUGAUCGGAAGUCCUUUUGAAAGAUUUUAUUUUACCAGAAAACAUAUUUUCACUUACCCAUGAGCUGUUGACGAUCAAACUCAUUUAUUUUUAAAACAAAAAAUCAUUUUCCUUUAAGGACAACUUCACAGCUAACAAUAAUAAAAUUAUAAAGUAAACUCGGUUCCUUAUGAACCCAUGUGAGAUUUACUCACAAUAUAAAAAAACUGCAUCAUAAUCAUCAUCAAAACCAUUACCAUCGCCGUCAUAAUAAUUAUCAUCAUAAUCAUCAUCAAAAUCAAUAGCACAAUCAUCAUCAUAAUAAUUAUAAAUAAAUGGUCCCAAAGUGGACGUUGGUGAGAUGUUACUCACCUAAAAUCCAGCUGCGUCUUCGCACGCACUACACAAGAAUAUAACACCAAACCACACUCCACAAGUCACCUAUUAACAAAAAUUAAUAACUUUAAUAACAACUUAAUAAAAGAACAUUACACCCUUAACAUGCCUUAACCCAAGCUUUGCCCAAAAAGGACAACCUUCAUCUGAGACCUCCCAAGGUCGUCGAACACUUAACCACAAUCCCCCACUGCCUAACUUUGGAUUCUCCUAGCUCAACACUUCGCACAAGUCUACAAUAACAAAGAAUUUAACAAGCAAAACUUAUUCAAACUUAACCUAAUCUCAUAAUAUACCAAUAUGCUCACAACAACAAGAACUAACUAACCAAAACAACUAAACCUAAACACCCUGCCCAACGCGCCGCCACGCGCCACCACCGGCGGCGGCGAGUGGGCCCCACGCACCACCCUACAACUUCACAAUUUGGCCAAACACCCAACUACAAACUUGAAGAUCACUACAAAUAAAGCACUUUUCCUACCUGAGCCUAAGUCCAACUCGGCCUUAAACCGCCCGAAACAGCCGCCGCAAGCUCCGAUCUUCACUCUGCAAUUUGGGGUUCAAAAACCCAGAAAUGAGUUGCAAGGGUGGUUCAAUCAUGCUAGGAAGGAAGAAAGCUUCACGAAAUGGGUAGCCUCACCUCCCGUCGCCGCCGUACACGGCCGGAACGCCCUCGGGUCAAAGUCGGGUUCGCCACCCUCCACUGCAGCGUUCGAUUCUCUCAAACCCGCUUGAGUCGUCUUCACCCACCUACACAGGGAAGAUCACGCCGAGGAGAGGAAGAGUUUCCGACCGAUGCCGUCGUCUGGGUCGGCCGGAGAUGACGGAAAAUCCAGGUCGGGUCAACCGGGUCCGGAUCGGGUCGGCUGGAAAACUAGGAUACUGAAGGUGAGGCGGGAGAGAAGAAAAAAGGAGAGAGUGGUGCGGGACAAAAACUGAGGGAACCCUAUAACUUUUUCAUAGUUAUACUAAAAAUUCCCGAAAACCACAAACUUCUGCUGACCAUAACUUCCACAUACGAAGUCCGUUUUACGCGUACCACGUGUCUACGAACUCGUAUCGUCAUGCUCUACAACUUUCGUGAAGGAAGUUUCCCGAGAAACCCAACCGAUUAAAAAGUCAACUCUUAACCCUUCAAAAUAGAGCAUUUUCACGGAACUAAAAACUCGACUACUUCUAGUCCACUCACUAAACCACAUAUCCAUACAACUCUUACUUAAAUAAUUUCCAAAAUAAUAUUAGAAACUAAUAUUAAAGUUCCGGGGUAUUACAUACUAUGUAUGUCACAUCCCGACCCUUAUAUUUUUACCUUAUUUACUAGCGUGAUUAUAAUAAGAAUUUUACCGUCUCGAUCAUUGAGUAAAUAGUUUAAUUGGUCCCUAGAGGGGUUUCGGGGACGAUUAUGUGCGGAGGAUUAUUAGUAUGAAGAAAAUACGACGACGGUAAAAAUGGUAAAUUUUAGCUAGUAAAAGGUAAUUUUUAUUCGGGUAUUAUUUUUCGGGGUGUUGAAUUUUGGAAUUUUGGGUUAAAAGGAGUGUUGGGUCGGCUGGGCCGAGCCCAACCCAUUUCUUCUUUCUCUUCUCCCUCUCUCCUGAUUCUCUCUCCUCCCACCCGAUUUUCUUCUCUCUACACCCAGAAGAAUUUCCGGCCGCCCUCCCGCCGCCGUCCGGCCACCAACCGCCGCCGCACCGGUCCCAAUCGAACGGCCUCCAACCCAGCUUCCAUUCUAGGCCGGUAGCAGCCCCCCUAGCGCCGCCGUGAGAGAGCGGUGCCGCUCGAAAGCAAAGGCUGUCCCGAACUUCCCUUCGCCGGAACUUCCUCCUCCGGCCACCAAUCCGGGCAAGCUUGGUACGGUUUUGUAGCCCUCCUUCCGUGCAACAACCCCUCCAAACAGCUCCCUCCCUCUUGAGCUAGGUAAGGAGAAAUUUGAGGUGGAAGUUUUAUGGUGUUUAAGUUGUUUUCGUUCGAUUAGCCUAGUUAGGCUUGGAAUUGGGUGAUGUGUUAGUCAUGAAAGUUGUAGAGGAGAUUGAGAGGAAGAUUCUGUUAAAAUUUGGUAGCAUUUGCAGGUCGCCGGAAAACGGCUGCCGGCCGCCGCCGGUGGCACCACCGCCGGUUAGGAGAGUUUUAGGGUUUUAAAUGUGGAAUAUUAAGAGGAGUAUAUUGGUGUGAUUUAUGGAAUUUUUGGAUGAGAUUUGGAUAGGUUUGUGAAUUUCCGAAGUUUGGUAUUUUUGGCGGUUAAUUAAUGUAGAAUCCGGCCGUAGGAUUUAAGUCGUAUUUUGGGGAGGUUAUAUUUACGACUGUGGAGUAUGAUAUUUAAGUUCGGAUCGUUCCGAUGUAAGAAUAUCGAAGUUAGGCAAUAAUGAGCGUAAUUAUGGCUCUCGGGUAAUUUUGCCUAUUUUGAUUAAAUAUUGGAUUAUUGGUUGGAAAUUAAUAUUUUAUUUGGAACAGGACGUGAGGAGGCUCGAGCAGACGAGACCCCAGAUCGACAUCAGGCUUAGGCCUAAUUUGUGAGUGGACGUUUAUUUUAAAUAAAUGCAUGCUAAAGUUCACGAUUGAAUAAUUAAUGUCGUGGAGUAUUUUGACGUCAUUUUAAUUUUUGACGAUUUUUAUUUCUCUUGGAGAGAUNNNNNNNNNNNNNNNNNNNNAACUUUAGCCGACGAAAUAUAGUAUAUUUCGUCGGCUAAUAUGGGUUUAGCCGACGAAAUAUGGUGUAUUUCGUCGGCUAAAUGAAAAAAUACAUUAAAAAAACAGACGAUAUUAGUAAACCAUACUUAAAUUUCCUGUUCAUCAUGUAUCACCAAAAUUCAUAUAAAAUAACUGAAAUAUGAAUUCAACAUGUGUAAACUAUAAAGGAAAAGGUCUUUAAUUAGUUAUACAAUGCAAAUUAAUGGAUUUCGUCCUCUAAAUUAAAACUAAGGCUAGUAAUCGGAAUCAUCCGAUGAGUC
rnacentral:lncRNA from 1 species